UUAGUCCUUUUCUUUAUCUCUUUAUAAUGCUGCAUUUUACGGGUUAUUUUAGUUAAAUGCGAUGCUGAAUUUGAAGGCUUUGGUCAUUCAGAUACACAUUGAUUAGUUCUAUUUUUUUGCUCAGGUUUCAUUCUUUCGUUUAAUUUAUUUUUAUUAUUUGUUAGAUUAUAAGAUAAGAAAAUUUGCUAUUAGCAAAUAUUGGUAUGGUAUUGCAAUGCUUCACUGAAGUUGCUUUGUUCUUGUGCAUGUUUUUUCAUUGAGGACAUGUGAAAAAAAAU
rnacentral:misc_RNA from 1 species